rfam:Schistosoma haematobium scaffold220_50, whole genome shotgun sequence.
AUCCGGCCAACGAGCCCCAAAUAGGACGAAACGCACGUCCUGGAU